GUGCCAGCCGCCGCGGUAAUACGGAGGGUGCAAGCGUUAAUCGGAAUUACUGGGCGUAAAGCGCGCGUAGGUGGCUUGAUAAGCCGGUUGUGAAAGCCCCGGGCUCAACCUGGGAACGGCAUCCGGAACUGUCAGGCUAGAGUGCAGGAGAGGAAGGUAGAAUUCCCGGUGUAGCGGUGAAAUGCGUAGAGAUCGGGAGGAAUACCAGUGGCGAAGGCGGCCUUCUGGACUGACACUGACACUGAGGUGCGAAAGCGUGGGUAGCAAACAGGAUUAGAAACCCCAGUAGUCCCGAAA
rnacentral:rRNA from 1 species